AGAGUUUGAUCAUGGCUCAGGAUGAAUGCUGGCGGCGUGGAUAGGGCAUGCAAGUCAAGGGGGCUCGAAAGAGCAACCGGCAGACGAGGUCAGUAACAUGUAAGAACGUACCCCAAAGUCUGGCAUAGCUCGUCGAAAGACGGGGUAAUUCCAGAUGGUCUCGAGAGAGUAAAGAUUUAUCGCUUUGGGAGCGGCUUGCACAGUAUCAGCUUGUUGGUGAGGUAAUGGCUCACCAAGGCUACGACGCUUAGGGGAGCUGAGAGGCUGACCCCCACCGAGGGAACUGAGACGCGGUCCCUACUCCUACGGGAGGCUGCAGUCGAGAAUAUUUCGCAAUGGACGAAAGUCUGACGGAGCGACGCCGCGUGGUAGAUGAAGUGCUUCGGCACGUAAAUACCUUUUAUGUGGGACGAAAUUAUUGACGGUACCACAUGAAUAAGGGGCUCCUAACUCUGUGCCAGCAGGAGCGGUAAUACAGAGGCCCCAAGCAUUAUCCGGAAUCACUGGGCGUAAAGGGUGUCGAGGCGGUUAUGUUAGUCGUUCGUUAAAUCCGGGGGCUCAACCUCCGGGCUGCGAGCGAAACGGCAUGACUUGAGGUUGGAAGAGGUGCAUGGAACUCACGGUGUAGGGGUGAAAUCCGUUGAUAUCGUGGGGAACACCAAAGGCGAAGGCAGUGCACUGGUCCAAAUCUGACGCUCACACACGAAAGCCAGGGUAGCGAACGGGAUUAGAUACCCUAGUAGUCC
rnacentral:rRNA from 1 species